CUUGUUUUGCCUGUUUCUUGUUUAGCGUGUGUGAGCCUAACGAGACUGUGUUGAUCGCAGAGCAGGCAACAGAUGGCACACAGACAGCAGAGUUGGGGACAGAUAUGCAGGGACAGACUGGCAGACAGGGAGUCUCAGGACCUUGAGCGUGGCUGAGGUGCACCCAGGACCAGCUCGGAAACCAGGUUGCAUAGCGGAGAAGGUACGGAGGGAUUCAAAAUGUGCAGCUGAAAGACAGCGGCAAUACAGAGAACGACGUAAUGCUGCCCCAGAAAGGAGAGUAUCUAGAGAAAGAGAGGGAGGAAAGAUAAAAGAGACUGGGAAGAAGAAGGCAAUAGCUGAACUCAGUGACAGAGUGCAGCAUGCAGAAAGGAAGAAAUGGAGAGAUUCAAACAGGAUACUCAGAGCCAGGGUCAAGACUAGUGCAUUGCUGCAGUCUGCAGAGAUGCCAUUAAAGGAACGAUGAAGAUUAAUCAGGUUAUCAGUGUCUCACCAGGCCAGAUAAAAUACUUGUCUGUGCAGAAGGAUAGUGGCAUGUUGGACUGUCCUUGUUUUCAGCUCAAAGAGGCAACUCUGGGUGACCCUGCAGCAUCUAACCAGCUCCCUACAUCUCAUGACGAGGCUGACACCACAUGGCGACCUGGAACCAUUGAACUUAAUCACGUAGGGGAGUGGUGUGUUGUCAAUUAUGACCAUGAAGGAUACCCUGGCAUCAUCAUAGAUGUAGAGGAACAUAACAUUAAGGUGAAGUGCAUGCACCUGAAUGGCAUCAACAAAUUCUUCUGGCCAAGUCCAAAGGAAGAUAUUUGUUGGUACUCUGAUGGACAGAUAAUUUGUCAGAUGCCAGAGCCAUGGGCUGUUAAUAAACACUCUGUACAGAUGGAAAGAUCCACCUGGAAGUACGUGGAAGAGCAUUUGGGGUGAAAGGGGGGACGGAUGGAAAUUGGGGGAGAGGAAGAGAGGGAGAGGAAUGUGUUUUAAUGCUAAUUCCAAUGAUUUUUCUACUGGCAAUGUAUUUUUGUGUUGUUUUUCACAAUGAAUACAGUUGAAGUCGGAAGUUUACAUACACUUAGGUUGGAGUCAUUAAAACUCGUUUUUCAACCACUCCACAAAUUUCUUUUUAACAAACUAUAGUAUGGGCAAGUCGGUUAGGAAAUCUACUUUGUGCAUGACACACAUCAUUUUUACAACAAUUGUUCACAGAC
rnacentral:lncRNA from 1 species